GAUCAUCCAGUCCAACAUUCUCCCUACCAUCCACUAAACCACAUCCCUAAAUCAGAGUUCCCUUUCACACCAGCAACCUUUUGCAACCCCCUCCUCUGCACAGCAGGAAGGGGCCCAGGGGUGCACAGAGAGUGCAACAGGAGCUGUGGAAGGCCAAACCACAAGGGGAACAAAGCCACCCUGCCACCUCCUCCUGUUCCCCCAAACCCUGCCUUGCAGAGGCCUGCACGCAGUGGCAGAGGGCUUCCCAGCCCAAGGCACUGCCUUGCCAAAACGCACGCCAGCCGCUGCGUUAGGAGCAGCUCUCAGGAAUGCUUUGAAGUGGCUCAAACCAGAGCAGAAAGCACAAGCAAGAGAGAUGGAGAGAGGGACGAGGAGGCAUCAGCUGCGCUCUUCGAAGGCAGUGAGGAGCGGAGGAUGCUCCUGCAGCGCCGAUGCCCAGCAGCCGCCUGGGAACGCCCAGGAGAGGCCUUGUGCCCGCGCCGGCUCAGCACAGAAGAGGGAGACCCACGGUGGCAUCCCGUCGGCUGCAGCACACCGGGGAUUUUACUGCUGGCCCCUGCCCCUCGCUGUCCCUCUUUGAUCCCGGCUGUCCUGCUCACACCCACCAAGCCAGAGCCUCACGGUGCCACUGUGCUGCCCAUCCCAUCUCCCCGCUGCUCCCUCAGGAUAAAGGGUCCCAGGAGCAGCCACCCUGCAACUGCUGCAGGAGCAGCUUGCGGAGACACCGCUCCCUGCCAGCUCAGCACACCUGGGAGCGGGUUUUGGAAGCACUCAGGCACGCACCAUUAGCUGGGAUUUGCAGGGAAGCUGGGGACCAAGACAGAGUUAUUCCUUCCUCCUCGCAGCGCCCUCCGCCCGCCCCCCAGCCACCCCAAGCACCCCGUGCUCGGCCAGCAAGGGGAGCGAAGCACGAGCUGGCAGCGCUGCAGGGCGAGCAGCAGCGGUGCAGGACACGCAGGCACCCGCGGGGCCGCAUCCUGCAGCUCCCCAUCCUGCAGCUCCCCCCCAGCAAGGCAGCGGGCACCGGAGGGCGAGAGACGGACAGAGAAAGCUCAACCCCGACGCACAGCCACACAAAGCCAGGAGCCAACCUUCAGAGCAGAAAUGCGUCUCCAUGCCAAGAGCUCGGCUCUUUUCCUCCCUCUUCCCGACUCGCAGCCCCGAGCUAACAGGCUCAGCAUUCAUCCCCCCGCGCCGGGCGGCACAUGGGAACGGAGGGGGGGAGAGGGAGGCUCAAAUGAAAUCCAGACCUAGAGAGCAGUUUCUUUUUUCCCCCGCUCCCCCCCGGUUUCUGCUGGAACCACCUUCUGUCUAGAGGGCUCAGGAGGAUGGAAAAAAAAAUGCAAAAAGGAAACGUUGCAGAAAAUAAAUAAAUUAAAGAAACUGCUGAAACCGA